GACGAACGCCGGCGGCGUGCUUAACACAUGCAAGUCGAACGGAAAGGCCCUGCUUUUGUGGGGUGCUCGAGUGGCGAACGGGUGAGUAACACGUGAGUAACCUGCCCUUGACUUUGGGAUAACUUCAGGAAACUGGGGCUAAUACCGGAUAGGAGCUCCUGCUGCAUGGUGGGGGUUGGAAAGUUUCGGCGGUUGGGGAUGGACUCGCGGCUUAUCAGCUUGUUGGUGGGGUAGUGGCUUACCAAGGCUUUGACGGGUAGCCGGCCUGAGAGGGUGACCGGCCACAUUGGGACUGAGAUACGGCCCAGACUCCUACGGGAGGCAGCAGUGGGGAAUAUUGCACAAUGGGCGGAAGCCUGAUGCAGCAACUCCGCGUGCGGGAUGACGGCCUUCGGGUUGUAAACCGCUUUCGCCUGUGACGAAGCGUGAGUGACGGUAAUGGGUAAAGAAGCACCGGCUAACUACGUG
rnacentral:rRNA from 1 species